GUCUGAGUUUGAGUUUGUACUUCGUCCUCCAGCUGCUCCUCUUCCUGUUUUGGUGCUUGAGGUGCUCGUCCCUCUCCUCCUCGUCACCUUCAUCAUCCUCUUCCUUGCUUGGAGAUACAGGAUCAGCAGACGAGGAAGUGGUGAACAAAGGGAUGAGACUGUCUACGCUGAGAUAACAGACGGAUCUGACUUUGAACCAGCACAAGUUGGAUCAAACCGGCAGGAUUUCAUAUCCUUCAUCUUCCGUGAUGCUCCAGCUCUGGGAAACAAUUCUGGUAAAGAUUCAAGAAAUUAUUGUGCUGAUAAAUAUUUGGCUUGAUAAACUAUUUAAACUGUAUAUAUUCAUGUUUGUCUCUCCUUACAGAGAUUUCUCAGCCCAGUGAGCCUCUUUAUUUUCUGAUCAACAAACCACGUUAAGGUGAUUUCAUCGUUCUUUAUGAUGGCUUGAGAGCAGGUUCGUUUUAAUAUUGUACACACUUGUAUCGCUCUGUGCACAAAAUAU